CUAGAGGAAAGUUAGCUAAGAGCAUAACUGAGUCUGCCCAUUGGGAAUUCUGAAGCCAAAGUUGGGAGGGGCAAGUCCUUCCAAUUUAUAGUGAGUGACUUCCUGGUUCUGAACAAGGACAGUUCCUGCCUGAUAAGGACAGUUUAUGAGCACUCUAGCAUGUGUGUAGUUAAGCAACCAUUCCUCCUCCUCCCUCCCCCUCCUUCCUUUCAUAGAUAUUUGUUGUCUGCCCUCACCAGAGGGGGGAAGCAGAGACCAUCAGCAAAGCUUGAAAUAAUUUACUAGAAAGAAAGUCCAUUGAUUCCACUGGAGCUUACUUCUAAGUAAACACAAACACACAAAAGAAUCGGGACCAGCAGAGAUCCUAGGCAAGAAUGUGAGUUUUCUCUUUUUCCCUUCCUCCAGUCCCUCAGCAAAGCAUAGAAGGGGGGAACUCAAAUUAUUCCUCUAGGGUUUACUUCCAAGUAAAAAUGUAUAGGAUUGGGUCCAAGGACCCCAUGCUAGGAAGUUCCAAAGGCAGAACCUCAAGGAAAUCCUAAAAACCAUUCUCACCCAGCACCAAUAAACCAUCAUUCUGGUGUAGACUGCUCUUGAACAUGGAGGUGCUACAUCAGAGCCAAACUGGAAGCUUCAUUUGGCCAUACUUAAGAAAUUAAGAUUCCAUAUUCACAAGCAGCUGGGCUCUCAUGUAGAACCUCCAUGUUCAAUGGCAGUGUCACAAUAAUAGUUUGUUGGCACUGGGUGGGAAUAGUUUCUGGGAUUUCCUUGCUGUACCUAUUUUGAGCUUUCUGGAAGCAUGUAGCUGAGCACUGUGAGAAAGAGGAUACUGGGCUGGAAUACAUAUGCCUUUUCCAGCAGCAUUUUGAUAACGGAACCUGCAGUUCUAUAUGCACACCGAGAAGGAAGCAAACUCCAUUAAAGUCAGUGGGAUUUGCUUCCAUAUAAUGAGGGAACAGUUAAUAAACAAUCCCUGAAAAAAUAACAUUGGUAUUGGUUACCAUGAAAGGUCAUUUCCCCCAGUAUAUGGAGGGUAUCCUUUUAACAUGGGUUGUCAUGCCCACUUGCUCCCAUUAGACAGGACUUUAUUGUGUAACUUCAGAGCAAUCCUAAGGUGCAUCUAGCCAAGCUCCUCCACCCAGUUCUGGGACUGUCUGGUGAAAGUGCAAGUGUGGAAGGCUCCAUAAGAAUAAACACAAUAACAUGAAGAAAAACACACAACAAAGCUCUCACCUGAAAACGUGUACAAUGACAGGUAAACAGGAAAAAAGAUCUUAAGGGCAACAAUAGAGAAAAAACAGAAGGCUUCCUCAAAAAAGAGGUAAGAGGCAUGAUCACCAAAUUAAAAGCUGAGACGAAUACCUCACCCAUGAAUCUAGGUGGGUCGGAUAUCUUCCCCUACACUGGGGAGAAAGAACCUUCAUGGUAAGUAAUAUCAAUGUUUAUUUUUGUUUAUUUAUUUAUUUGAUUUAUCUACCACCCUUCCAAAAAUGGCUCAGGGCAGUUUACAAUGUUACUUUCUCCCCCAGUGUAUGUAGGAGGGUAUCCUUUAACAUGGAACAUACCAAAAUGGUUGUCUCCAGGCAGAAGGUUUAUGCUAAAGAGAGACAGUUGUGAAGAUACUACUUUUUCUUGCAGUACUGCAUGGCCAAAGGCAGCUUGGGUGGAUUGGCACACAUUCUGCUUGUAAUACCCGACAAAGGGCGAUACUGAGAACCACAUGGCAGCCUUGCAUUUGUCAGAUAUAGGCGCAUUUGCAGAGAAGGCUGCUGACAUGGCUGCACUGCAUGUGGAGUGAGCUGUGAACCUGGAUGGCAGGCACAACAAAAGUGACUCAUAAGCAAGAAUGAUGCAAGCCUUGAUCCAUCGUGCCAGAAAAGCUUUUGAUGGUUUUGUGCCCAAAGAGGAGGGAUGAAACGAGAUGAACAAGGCCCAUCUGACGCAGAUACCCAGUGUGUUUUGAGGUCAGUUUUGAGAGCCCUUUUUACAUCAAGGGUAUGCCAGAUCCUCUCCUUUGGAUAUUGAGGAGAUGGGCAGAAGGUAGGCAGAACUAUGCCCUGGUUCCUAUGGAAUGGUAUGUUGACCUUCGGGCAGAAGGUAGGGUCAGUUUUGAGUACUGGAUCUGGCAGGAAAAGGCAAAGAUAUUUGUGUAUGGAUAGCGCUCCCAAUUCUGAUGCCCUACAUGCUGAGGUGAUAGCCACUAGAAACAAGCCAUUAUAGGACAACAGCUUGAAUGGUGUUGUCUUGCGUGGUUCAAAUAGAGCCCUUGUCAGUGCAUUAAGGACUUCAUUCAAGUUCCAUGAUGUGAACCUAUGUACUGCAGAAGGUGUGAUGUUAGAUGUGCCUUUGAGGAAUCUCCAAAUGUCUGGAUGGGAAGCCAAGAAGGCCUUGGAUGAAGGACAUAGCAUGGGCAACGUGCUACAAGGUCUGUCUCCAGAGGAUACUAGGUUUCAAGCCCUUGUCCAAGCUGGCUUGAAGGCAAGGACAGUGGGACACUGUUGCUUUCAUAGGUAGCACUUUUGGGGGCCUAGCUCACUUGAGGAAAGCUGUCUACGUAGUCUGAAAGAUUCUGAUGGUGGAAUGACAUCUAGAAGCUAGAAUACUGUUCUGGAUUUUCUUAGGGUAACCCUUGGCAGUUAGUAAGGCAUGCUCAGUUUUCACACAUGAAGCUGAAGCCACAGUGCUGUAGAGGUCCUUGCUGGAGGAGAUCUGGACUGUCUGGACAGGGCCACCGUGAUUCCGCUGCCAAGGCUAUGAGGUCUGAGAAUCACAGAUGUUGAGGCCAGAAGGUAACGACAAGAAUUAGCUGGGUUCCCUGCUCUCUGAAUCUCUGUAUGACAUUCUGUAUUAGAGAGAAAGGAGGGAAGGCAUACAACAACCUCUGAGGCCUCAGAGGAUGUCUAUCCCGCCUGAGGGCAGUGGUAUCUGGAGAAGAAUCUCGGCAUCUGGCAGAGGUUGAGGACCAGUAGACUGAAGUGUUGAGCUAUCAUGGCAAACUUUGUGGGGUGACACAUGUUCUCUGCUUGAUCCCCUUGAUGUCUUCUGUCAGUCUGCCUCCACUUUCUGCACUCUGCUGUUUGGCCGCGAUGGAUGCCCAGUAAAGAUUUUGUCCGAUUUUUCCAUCAGUGACCAGGAACGUGUGCUGCCCUGGCAGUUGAUGUGAGCCUUGGUGGCCACGUUGUCCAUCCUGAUGAGAACACGUUGGCCUUGAAUGACCUCCACAAAUUGAAGAAGGGUGAGGUGAACCGCCCUGAGUUCCAGCCAAUUUAUGCUGAGCGGUGUCUCUGUGGCAGACCAGGUGCCUUGGACCAUCAGGUUGUUGCAGUUGGCUUCCCACCCCAACUUGCUGGCAUCAGUGGUGAUUUGAAUGGGUGGAAGCGAUUUUCGGAGAACUCCCUGCUCUAAGGCUGGAGGUGUCCACCAUAGUAAAGGCUGUUGGAGUGGUGCAGGAAUUCUGACACGCAGAUGUGCCCUGGCCAUGACUUGAUCCUGGUGAGGAAGGAGCAGCCACUGUAGGUGUCAGGAAUGCCAUCGAGACCAUGGAACAGUGUCUGUGCGCAAGAUGCUGCUGCCCAGCAGCCUCGCCAGCAUCAUCAGGUCUGCUGAGCAACAAGCUAGGAUCUGCCAGAUACAAGAACCACGAGUGAAAAUGAAAAGCAUCUUAUCUCUCGUCUUAAACUGAAAAUUUUUGGAUUAGUGAAUUAUACCUAUGCCUGGUAUAACAACACUCAGAGUGCUUGAAAAUGACUGGAUGAUUUUUCAGUUGCCAGAUACACUACCUUGGUGUCCUUGAACCUCCAAGCCACAUGGAGAAUGCAGUGAUCUCCAUACUUCUACUUCAAACAGUAGAGCACGGUCAAGCAGCAUCUGAGCAGAAAACCGAGCACAAUCGCUGGUCCUGACAGCCACCAGGUUUUGCCCAGAGGGAUCGCAGUGCGCGGCUGCACAGCCCCGCUACAGCACUACAUGAAUUUCCAGACAGACGACCGCCUUCGCUCAAUCACAGUCCUAUACUUUUAAUUGCAAAUUAUUCAAUUUUCAGCUCUUAUAGUUCAUACUCAUAGUAUAGUAUAUAAGUAUAAUAUCUGUGCUUUUAUCAUUUUAAUAGCCUCACAGUCUUUUAUAAUCAGAUUUUAUUAUAAUUUGUAUGACCAUAAUUUAAUAAUCUUAAUAUAAUAAUUUCUCUUAGCCAGCAUGCGUGCCCAGACUUUUUUGCGGUGGAACUCUCACAACACGCUGCGAGAGUUCCCGGCAUUACCCGGCCACGGUAAUGGCGGCAGCGGCGGCCCGGCCCAACCCAGUAAGGAGGAGAAGGCAGCAGGCCUGGCCCAGCCAUUGGGGUCAGGAGGUGGCUGGGCCGCCAGGAAGAGGAGCCGGUGGGCAGUGGUAGAGCUGUGCCACUGAGAGCAGAAGGUGGGGGAAGGGCAGGAGAAGGUCAGGGGAGCAGAAGCUGGCGGGAGAGCAGGAGAGACAGCCGCGGUGAGGAGGAGGAGGCUGGCCUGGCCACCAGGGUUUGGAGGCAGCGGGCGGUGGAAGAGGAGGCAGCGGGCAGCGGUAGAGCCAGGCUGCCAAGAGCAGCCCGGGAAGGAAAGUGUGGCCAGGAACGGAAACGUGAGAAGACUGGGGCAGAAGGUGGGAGGGAGGGCAGGAGAGACUGGGGCAGAAGGUGGGAGGGAGGGCAAGA